GAUGAACGCUGGCGGCGUGCCUAAUACAUGCAAGUCGAGCGAACGGACGAGAAGCUUGCUUUUCUGAUGUUAGCGGCGGACGGGUGAGUAACACGUGGAUAACCUACCUAUAAGACUGGGAUAACUUCGGGAAACCGGAGCUAAUACCGGAUAAUAUUUUGAACCGCAUGGUUCAAAAGUGAAAGACGGUCUUGCUGUCACUUAUAGAUGGAUCCGCGCUGCAUUAGCUAGUUGGUAAGGUAACGGCUUACCAAGGCAACGAUGCAUAGCCGACCUGAGAGGGUGAUCGGCCACACUGGAACUGAGACACGGUCCAGACUCCUACGGGAGGCAGCAGUAGGGAAUCUUCCGCAAUGGGCGAAAGCCUGACGGAGCAACGCCGCGUGAAUGAUGAAGGUCUUCGGAUCGUAAAACUCUGUUAUUAGGGAAGAACAUAUGUGUAAGUAACUGUGCACAUCUUGACGGUACCUAAUCAGAAAGCCACGGCUAACUACGUG
rnacentral:rRNA from 1 species